rnacentral:pre_miRNA from 14 species
GGCCGCCUCGGCUCUCUCCUCUCGGCCCUGUCUCCCAACCCUCGUACCAGUGCCGCACCUCAGACCCUGGUACAGGCAUGGGGGGCAGGGACCUGGGGACCCCAGCGCCGAAGCCAG